UUGGAACCCCACAUGCAAUGACCAGUGGAAGUCCUUAAGAGCCUUGUUCAGGACUGAGCUUUUCUCUGCCAAAGCAAUUGAUUCACAAGCCAGUUUGAGGGAGAAGAAAUCGUCGGAGAUGGUGGAAUUUUUGACUGCCCGACAAGGAAAAGUAAUUAAUAUUGGAGAACUUGUGUUUGCUACUAUUUUUGAUACAAUUUCUAAUCUUUUAUUCUCCAAGGACAUGAUUGGUUUGGA
rnacentral:misc_RNA from 1 species